AGGACGAACGCUGGCGGCGUGCCUAACACAUGCAAGUCGAGCGGAAAGGCCUCCUUCGGGAGGUACUCGAGCGGCGAACGGGUGAGUAACACGUGGGCAACCAACCCCUCACAUCGGGAUACCCCGGGGAAACUCGGAUCAAUACCGGAUAAUGCGCGACGCUGUUGGGCGUCGCACCAAAGGUAGCUUCGGCCUCUGGUGAGGGACGGGCCCGCGGCCCAUUAGCUUGUUGGUGGGGUAAUGGCCUACCAAGGCAACGAUGGGUAGCUGGUCUGAGAGGAUGAUCAGCCACACUGGGACUGAGAUACGGCCCAGACUCCUACGGGAGGCAGCAGUGGGGAAUAUUGCGCAAUGGGCGGAAGCCUGACGCAGCAACGCCGCGUGCGGGAGAAGGCCUUCGGGCGUAAACCGCUUUCAGGGGGGACGAAGCCACCAGGGUUAAUAGCCCAUGGGGUGACGGUACUCCCAGAAGAAGCCCCGGCUAACUACGUGCCAGCAGCCGCGGU
rnacentral:rRNA from 1 species